rnacentral:lncRNA from 1 species
UGGCACUUUAGAACACAUUUGUCAAAAGGGGGUUGCUCUAUAUAAGAUGGAGUUCUGUACAGCUUUUAAGAGCGCUAUGUUAAAACAAAAGUAAGCUGAUAUUAGCAAGACCAAUAACUGCUUCUUUUUUUUCUUUCUUUUUUUUUUUUUUUUUUUUUUUUGGUUAGUCACCAGUCAUUUAACUGCCUGAUGUUGGUGCCCCUAUCAAAGGCAGUUUAUUAUUAAUUUGUUUGAAUCCAGAAAAUAUUUUACCUUCUAUGAAAUUUAAAAUAAACAAAAUCCCCAGUUGUCAAGAUAACGGAGUUUAAAGAAGAGAGCUUCCCACUGGAACAGGGGGGUAAAACCGAGCCCACGUGUGCUGUCCGUUCAGAAGCCAGCAGCCCUGCCCUGGUCGCUCAGACUCCAUCCCCUGGAACAGUUUCCACUGAGUGACACCAUAUGGACUGCUGAAAGUCAUCUUCAGUCACAGUUCAGGAUGUCUGAUACUUGGGUCUGCCAGGCUUCGGAUGGUCCAUCUGACAGUCCCAAGGACCUACAUAACUCGAGGGAAAGGAUUCCUGCUGGUCUGUGGAACUUGCAGCAUUCAUUGCUAGCCCCAAAAGCACCCAAGAAUUCAACUUUGAUAAAACAAUUUUAACUUUUGGUUGCAUUUCCCGCCUCCUUUUCCUCCCAGUAGAGCUAAGGUACUCAGCAUAAGGAGAGAGAAUUUUUAAUUAGGACUUUUAAAAAACUUUCUGAAAUGGUUUGCAGUGGUUUUCCUGGAAGGAGGUGUAGACUUCGGAGCGGUGCAGAGGAAGGCUCGCAUGAACACGCUGGUGGCUGAGCCAGCUGUGAGUCACACAGCCGUCCCAAGUGUGCGCUGGGGGAAUUUAUACCAUUCCACACCAUCGCAUACUUGUUACGAGUAAUCUAAGUUAGAGCUGCUUCUCUUGCAUUCAGGUUGCCUCUUUAUUUUUGAAGCCUGUUCUUUAAAGGAAGCAAACUGCUUUGCAUGUGACUGCCCCUUGUUGAUUGCCCUUGGAGAAGUGAGAGUGUGUGUCAGGCUAUGGUUUUGCUGAUGUGCCCAGUAUGGAAAAGCGGCGUGCUCCUCAGGAACGCACGCAGCCCCGCUGAAGGAGUGCUGCCGGCUGGAUUCGCUUGCCAAGGAGGAAAAUGUUGAAAAUUGCCAUGACUUAA